GUCCCUGUAGCGCAAUAGAUAGCACGUUGGACUUCUAAUCCAGAGGUGGUGGGUUCGAAUCCCACCUGGGAUG
rnacentral:tRNA from 1 species